AAGGUCUGAAUGGGUAGAUUGCAAGGUAUUAAUGUGUAGAUUGCAAUCUACCCAUUCAGACCUUGCAAUCUACCCAUUCAGACCUU
rnacentral:pre_miRNA from 1 species